AACUAGGAUUAGAUACCCUAUUAUUUUGAGUGUCAAUUUUCCAGGGUAGUAAUAGUUAUAUUCUUUAAACCUAAAGAAUUUGGCGGUGUUUUAGUCUAUUUAGAGGAACUUGUCCCAUGAUCGAUAGUCCUCGUUUUAUCUUUCUUUUUCUUGUUAUCAGUAUGUAUACCGCCGUUAUAAGUUUAUUUUUUUAGAAUAUUAAUUUACUUGAAAAAUUAUUUUUUUUAAUUUCAGGUCAAGGUGCAGUUUAUGAUUAAGAGGAGAUGAGUUACAUUAUUAUAUUAAUAUAUGAAUUUUUAUUUUAAAACUUAAAAUGAAAGCGGAUUUAUUAGUAAUUUUAAUUAUUAAAUUAUUUUGAUUAUAGCUCUAAAAUAAGUACACAUCG
rnacentral:rRNA from 1 species